GGGUGCUUGGCGCAAUGGUAGCGCGUCAGUUUUCGGCACUGAAGGCUGUGGGUUCGAGUCCCAUGGUGCUCG
rnacentral:tRNA from 1 species